GGGACGUUAGCGCAAUUGGCAGAGCACCGGUCUCCAAAACCGGGGGUUGGGGGUUCAACUCCCUCACGUCCCG
rnacentral:tRNA from 1 species